UACGUAGGGGGCUAGCGUUAUCCGGAAUUACUGGGCGUAAAGGGUGUGUAGGUGGUUUCUUAAGUCAGAGGUGAAAGGCUACGGCUCAACCGUAGUAAGCCUUUGAAACUGGGAAACUUGAGUGCAGGAGAGGAGAGUGGAAUUCCUAGUGUAGCGGUGAAAUGCGUAGAUAUUAGGAGGAACACCAGUUGCGAAGGCGGCUCUCUGGACUGUAACUGACACUGAGGCACGAAAGCGUGGGGAGCAAACAGG
rnacentral:rRNA from 1 species